UACGUAGGGUGCGCGCGUUGUCCGGACUUAUUGGGCGUACAGCGCUCGUAGGUGGUCUGUCACGUCGGAUGUGAAAACUCGGGGCUCACCCCCGAGCCUGCAUUCGAUACGGGCAGACUAGAGUUCGGUAGGGGAGACUGGAAUUCCUGGUGUAGCGGUGAAAUGCGCAGAUAUCAGGAGGAACACCGGUGGCGAAGGCGGGUCUCUGGGCCGAUACUGACACUGAGGAGCGAAAGCGUGGGGAGCGAACAGG
rnacentral:rRNA from 1 species